rnacentral:lncRNA from 1 species
GUCGAGACGUUGCAGGCUGAGGUUCAGGAACUGGAAAAGCAGCGGGAAAUGCAGAAGGCUGCUCUGGAGCUGCUCUCCCUGGACCUGAAGAAGCGCAGUCGGGAGGUAGACCUGCAACAGGAACAGAUUCAGGAGCUAGAACAAUGCAGGUCUGUCUUGGAACACCUUCCCAUGGCCGUCCAAGAGCGGGAGCAGAAGCUGAGUGUGCAGCGGGACCAGAUCAGAGAACUGGAGAAUGACCGGGAGGCCCAGAGGACUGCCUUGGAACACCAGCUUCUGGACCUUGAGCAGAAGGCUCAAGUGAUUGAGUCCCAGAGGGGACAGAUUCAGGAUCUGAAAAAGCAACUGGGGACACUGGAGUGCCUGGCCCUGGAACUGGAGGAAAGCCAUCGCAAAGUGGAGGGCCAGCAGAAGGUGAUCACAGAACUGGAGGGCCAGAGGGAACUGCAGAGGGUGGCUCUAACCCACCUCACACUGGACCUGGAAGAACGGAGCCAGGAGCUGCAGACACAAAGCAGCCAGCUCCAUGAGCUGGAGAACCAUAGCACCCGUCUGGCAAAAGAGCUGCAGGAGAGGGACCAGGAGGUGAUGUCUCAACGCCAGCAGAUUGAGGAGCUACAAAAGCAGAAAGAACAGCUGACUCAGGACCUAGAGAGGAAAGGCCAAGAGCUGGUGCUGCAGAAGGAAAGGAUUCAGGUUCUGGAAGAUCAGAGGACGCUGCAGACCAAGAUCUUAGAAGAGGACCUAGAACAGAUCAAGCAUUCCCUGAGAGAACGUGGCCAGGAGCUGGCCUCUCAGUGGCAGCUGAUGCAGGAGCGGGCAGAGGAUGGAAAGAGCCCGAGUAAAGCCCAGCGAGGGAGCCUGGAGCAUUUGAAGCUGAUCCUGCGUGAUAAGGAGAAGGAGGUGGAGUGCCAGCAGGAGCGCAUCCAGGAACUUCAGGAGCACAUGGGCCAGCUGGAACAGCAGCUCCAGGGGCUGCACAGGAAGGUGGGUGAGACGAGCCUGCUCCUGACCCAUCGAGAGCAAGAGACGGCAACCCUGCAGCAGCGCCUCCAGGAAGCCAAGGAACAGGGGGAGCUGAGAGAGCAGGUGCUUCAGGGUCAGCUGGAGGAGGCGCAGAGAGCUCUGGCCCAGAGGGACCAUGAACUAGAGGCCCUCCGGCAGGAACAGCAGCAGACCCGGGGCCAGGAGGAAAGCAUGAAGCAGAAGACAAGUGCUCUGCAGGCCGCGCUGGAGCAGGCGCAUGUGACACUGAAGGAGCGUCAGGGGGAGCUGGAAGAACACCGGGGACAGGUGCAAAGGCUCCAGGAAGAACUAAUAGUAGAGGGACGGCAGGUACGGGCCCUGGAGGAGGUGUUGGGAGACCUAAGAGCGGAGUCUCGGGAACACGAGAAGACCGUGCUGGCCCUUCAGCAACGGUGUGCUGAACAGGCCCAGGAACAUGAGGCAGAAGCCAGGACCCUGCAGGACAGCUGGCUGCAGGCCCAGGCCAC